rnacentral:rRNA from 1 species
UAAGGAAUAUGGCUCAAUGGGAGAAAUCCUGAAGCAGCAACGCCGCGUGGAGGAUGAAGGGUCUAUGACUUGUAAACUCCUGUAAAGAAGGAAAAAAUUCCCAUUAGAUGGGAGAUGAUGGUACUUCUGGAGUAAGCCCCGGCUAACUACGUGCCAGCAGCCGCGGUAAUACGUAGGGGGCAAGCGUUGUCCGGAUUUCCUGGGUGUAAAGGGUGCUCAGGCGGAUGUGUAAGUCAGAGGUGAAAUCUUACAGCUUAACUGUGAAACUGCCUUUGAUACUGCAAGCCUAGAGUAUGGAAGAGAGUGAUGGAAUAUCUGGUGUAGCAGUGAAAUGCGUAGAUAUCAGAUAGAACACCAAUGGCGAAGGCAGCCACUUGGUCCAUUACUGACGCUAAAGCACGAAAGCGUGGGUAGCAAACA